rnacentral:rRNA from 1 species
AAUAGAUACCCGGGUAGUCCACGCCGUAAACGAUGAGUGCUAAGUGUUAGAGGGUUUCCGCCCUUUAGUGCUGCAGCUAACGCAUUAAGCACUCCGCCUGGGGAGUACGGUCGCAAGACUGAAACUCAAAGGAAUUGACGGGGGCCCACACAAGCGGUGGAGCAUGUGGUUUAAUUCGAAGCAACGCGAAGAACCUUACCAGGUCUUGACAUCCUCUGACAACUCUAGAGAUAGAGCGUUCCCCUUCGGGGGACAGAGUGACAGGUGGUGCAUGGUUGUCGUCAGCUCGUGUCGUGAGAUGUUGGGUUAAGUCCCGCAACGAGCGCAACCCUUGAUCUUAGUUGCCAGCAUUAAGUUGGGCACUCUAAGGUGACUGCCGGUGACAAACCGGAGGAAGGUGGGGAUGACGUCAAAUCAUCAUGCCCCUUAUGACCUGGGCUACACACGUGCUACAAUGGAUGGUACAAAGGGCUGCAAGCCGCGAGGUCAAGCCAAUCCCAUAAAACCAUUCUCAGUUCGGA